rnacentral:rRNA from 1 species
UUGACCUCGGAUCAGGUAGGGAUACCCGCUGAACUUAAGCAUAUCAAUAAGCGGAGGAAAAGAAACCAACAGGGAUUGCCUCAGUAACGGCGAGUGAAGCGGCAACAGCUCAAAUUUGAAAUCUGGCCGUUCGGCGGUCCGAGUUGUAAUUUGUAGAGGAUGCUUCGGGUGCGGCGCCGGUCUAAGUUCCUUGGAACAGGACGUCAUAGAGGGUGAGAAUCCCGUAUGUGACCGGCGACCUGGCCCGUGUGAAGCUCCUUCAACGAGUCGAGUUGUUUGGGAAUGCAGCUCUAAGCGGGUGGUAAAUUUCAUCUAAAGCUAAAUACCGGCCAGAGACCGAUAGCGCACAAGUAGAGUGAUCGAAAGAUGAAAAGCACUUUGGAAAGAGAGUUAAAAAGUACGUGAAAUUGUUGAAAGGGAAGCGCUUGCGACCAGACUUGCUCACGGGCGAUCAGCCGUCCUUCUGGGCGGUGCACUCGCCGGUGAUCAGGCCAGCAUCGGUUCAGGCGGCCGGAUAAAGGCCCCGGGAACGUGGCUCCCCUCGGGGAGUGUUAUAGCCCGGGGUGCAAUGCGGCCCGCCGGGACCGAGGACCGCGCUUCGGCUAGGAUGCUGGCGUAAUGGUCGUAAGCGACCCGUCUUGAAACACGGACCAAGGAGUCUAACAUCUGUGCGAGUGUUUGGGUGUCAAACCCAUGCGCGGAAUGAAAGUGAACGGAGGUGGGAACCCUUCAGGGUGCACCAUCGACCGAUCCUGAUGUCUUCGGAUGGAUUUGAGUAAGAGCAUAGCUGUUGGGACCCGAAAGAUGGUGA